CUACGAAUAUUCUCGCUGUUCAGAUUCUGUGAUAUUCAGGACAGGCUAGACAUUUGCUAUAGUAAGGCCACGCAUGUGUCCCCAGACCUAGGUCUUUACCCAGGUCUGGUUUUCUAAAUGCUGGUGACAAGC